NAAACUUAGGAUAAUCCCCAAACCGAAGGCCUUCAAAGCCUUAAACAAGAGUUGAACCCUCUUAGUUUCUGC
rnacentral:tRNA from 1 species